rnacentral:lncRNA from 1 species
CGCUUCCUCAUUCAUGAGCAUAACAGACUGUUCUAUUUGCCUACUGUGCCAGUAAACAAUGAUCAAUGUAUGAGCUGUCAUGAUAUUCAGACGUGGCACGAGAUUUUAGGGCACUGUAAUUUUGAUGAUGUCAUGAAGUUAGAGAAUGUUGUGGACGGCAUGUCAAUCAGGGGUAAAGUGUCCAAAUCCAUGAUAUGUGAAGUGUGUACUCAGGGCAAGUUCACUCGGAGCAGGAACAGGAAUCCUGAUGUGAGGGCCAAAUCAGCCUUAGAGCUGGUUCACACUGACUUGGCAGGCCCCAUUGACCCAGAAUCCAAGGAAGGGUAUAGGUAUGCACUUUCCUUUACUGAUGACUAUUCAAGUGCAGUGUUUGUGUACUGUCUAAAGCACAAGAGUGACACUGUAGAAGCCACCGAGAGGUUUCUAGCCGACACAGCCCCAUAUGGGAAAGUGAAGUGUCAGGUCUGACAAUGGUACCGAGUUCACAGGGCAGGGUUACCAAGCCCUACUGCGUAGAAAUAGAAUCAGACAUGAAACAUCAGCACCAUACUCACCACACCAGAAUGGCACUGCCGAGCGUAACUGGAGAACCCUUUUUGACAUGGCUAGAUGUAUGCUCUUGGAGAGCCAGUUAGCCAAGGAGCUAUGGCCGUAUGCGGUCCAGACAGCAGCAGUGGUGAGGAAUAGAUGUUUCAACAACCGCACCAGAGAGACACCUUAUUUUAUGCUGACAGGAAGGAGACCUAAUGUCUCCAGGAUGCAGAAGUUUGGUACUGUGUGUUACGCCUACAGGCAGGACAGGAAGAAGCUAGAGUCAAGGUCUGACAAAGGCAUCUUUGUUGGUUAUGACAAGAACAGUCCAGCCUAUAUGGUCUACUACCCUGACAGCAGGAAGGUGAUGAAGCACAGACUGGUGAGGUUCAUGUCAUGUGUUGAGGGACAGCAGACUGAUGACAUGUCCGACAAUGACAGUGGUGUGCAGUCUAGCACAACCAGACCUGACCCUGACAAACCCGAGCAGAAUGACAUCCCAGAGGCUAGGCCAGGUCCAAGCCAGAUAGGCCUACAGACAGGUGAGGCCAAGCCAGAAUCCCAGUCUCCACGGAGAUACCCUGCUAGAGAGAGGAGGAGGCCAGACUUCUAUGGGAUAGAGAGUGAUCAGGCUCAGAUCAACAUUGAUUAUUGCUACAGGAUAGUUUGUAAUGUACCUCAGACGUUCAGAGAUGCUGUGACUUCAUCCAACUCAAGAGAGUGGGUAAAUGCAAUGGAUGAGGAAAUGAAGGCACUGAGGGAUAACAACACAUUUACUCUGACCACCUUACCUGAGGGCAAGAAGGCAGUGGGGGGUAGAUGGGUGUAUACUCUCAAAACCAAUGUUGAUGGAUCUGACAAGUACAAGGCCCGCUAUGUAGCCAAGGGAUACAGUCAACAGAUGGGUGUAGACUAUGGAGAAACGUUUUCUCCUACUGCCGACCUGACUAGUGUGAGAGUGUUGAUGCAGAAAGCUGCCCAGGAAGAUCUGAUCCUACAUCAGAUGGAUGUAAAAACUGCCUACCUACAUGCACCAAUUGAUUGUGAAAUUUACAUGGAACAGCCAGAGGGUUAUGAUGUAAAAGAUCAGAAGAAGAUGGUGUGUAGACUAGAGAAGUCACUUUAUGGGCUUAAACAAUCAGGUCGAAACUGGAACAAAAUGUUGCAUGACUAUCUUUGUGAAAACAUGUUUGUACAGAACCCAGCCGAUCACUGUGUUUAUCAGAGAGAAACGGAACAUGACAAGGUGAUCGUACUGAUCUGGGUUGAUGACCUGGUUAUUGCAGCCUGUGAUGAGAGAGUUUUAAAAGCAGUAAAAGAGAUGCUUACUGUGAAGUUCCAGAUGAAAGAUUUGGGUAGACUGAAGAAUUUUCUUGGUAUCACUUUUGACCAGUGUAAUGGAUGUGUGACCAUGUCACAGCAGAGCUAUGUUGACAAGCUGCUUGACAGGUUUGAUAUGCAGGAUUGUAAACCCAGGUCGACACCUUGUGAACCAAAGCUGCAUUACACUGAUGAUGAGAAGCUAGGUGACCCCAGAAAAUACAGAGAGGCAGUGGGUAGCCUAAUCUACCUAACCUCAUGCACCAGACCUGAUCUGAGUUUUGUUGUAAGCAAACUGUCACAGCAUUUCAGUGAGCCGACAGAAGAGCAGUGGACAACUGUUAAGCAUGUACUGAAAUAUUUGAAGGGCACAAAUGACAAAAUGUUGUGUUACAGAAAAUGUGAUGGGCUGAGGUUGUUUGCUUACAGUGAUGCAGAUUGGGCAGGUGAUGCAACUGACCGACGCAGUACAACUGGUUAUUGUGUUAGUCUGAGUGAGAAUGGUCCUCUGAUUUCCUGGAAGACCAAGAAGCAGCCAACUGUAGCACUGUCAACUUGUGAGGCAGAGUAUAUGGCGUUGGCCGCCACCACACAAGAGUGUCUUUACUUAUCUCAACUGCUUGAACAUCUGGAUGACUGUUUGUAUGAUGUACCUAAGAUUUUUGAAGAUAACCAAGGUACAAUUGCAUUAGCCAAGAAUCCAGUCAGCAGACAGCGAUGUAAGCACAUUGAUAUAAAAUACCAUUUUGUGAGAUCAACUGUUAAUGACUGUAAAGUAUGUUUGGAGUAUUGCCCAACAGACCAGAUGGUAGCUGACCUGAUGACAAAACCAGCUACUAAAGCAAAGCUAUUUACUUUUUCUAUGUUCCUGUUUGGGGUAUAGCCAGUUAAGUGCAGUUGGUUUCCAUGUUUGUUUUAUUUUUUAUUUUUGUUGUUGUUGUUUUUUUUUUUUGUUGUAUGAUCUAUGGUUGUCAAUAAUGUGUGAUCAAGUGGGGGUGUUAAUUGAAUAAUUGACAACUGAUUGUGCUCCCAAUUAUUGCUCAUGCAUUUCAGGUGUGUGUGUCAUGUGACUGUCUAUAAAAGCUGAUGCACCUGCACAAAAUAAAGUGAUUGAGUGUUCUCUGAACUUGCAUCCAGUCUCGGUAUGUUAUUUGUCCUCCCAAAGUUUAUAUAGAUUG